rnacentral:rRNA from 1 species
AAACGACUCUCGGCAACGGAUAUCUCGGCUCUCGCAUCGAUGAAGAACGUAGCGAAAUGCGAUACUUGGKGUGAAUUGCAGAAUCCGUGAAUCAUCGAGUCUUUGAACGCAAGUUGCGCCCGAAGCCUUCUGGCCGAGGGCACGUCUGCCUGGGUGUCACGC